GUGAGGAAUAUUGGUCAAUGGACGGAAGUCUGAACCAGCCAUGCCGCGUGCAGGAAUAAGGUCCUAUGGAUUGUAAACUGCUUUUAUUCGGGAAUAAACCUCUUUACGUGUAGGGAGCUGAAGGUACCGAAGGAAUAAGCACCGGCUAACUCCGUGCCAGCAGCCGCGGUAAUACGGAGGGUGCAAGCGUUAUCCGGCAUCAUUGGGUUUAAUGGGUCCGCAGGCGGGCUAUCAAGUCAGAGGUGAAAUCCCACAGCUUAACUGUGGAACUGCCUUUGAAACUGAUGGUCUUGAAUUAAGUGGGCGUUGGCGGAAUAUGACAUGUAGCGGUGAAAUGCAUAGAUAUGUCAUGGAACACCGAAAGCGAAGGCAGCUAACGAUACUUAUAUUGACGCUCAUGGACGAAAGCGUGGGUAGCGAACAGGAUUAGAUACCCGAGUAGUCC
rnacentral:rRNA from 1 species